ACUGUGCAUCGUCAAAAAAAAAAACACUUGCAUAAUCUUGACGAAAAGGAAUCUGGCGAUUUUCUUGACCUCGUGUUUCCUGACAGCAGUGUCACCCGCUGCAAUGUGCAUUAGUUAGGCAGUCUCUUAACUUUAAGUGGCUUGAUCGCAAGAAUGAGGGCGAGUGGUCUGCCCGAGGUGAAUAAUGUAUGAGAAAGCAGUUUAAUUACCUGUGAUCCAUUAUUAAAGCAGGCCGGUUGACGGUGGGAGGCUGGGAGGGGCCGACAGGGACGGGGAGCGGACAGCGGACGCACUGAGCACCGAUCAAAUCGUUUAAUUGUACAGUGUUGUUUGUCUACAUUUCUCUCUCCGAGGUCACUGUUUGACUUUAGAUUUGUUACAGUACGUGUUUCCCUAUGCAGUUUGCCUCUCUCACGGGGGUCCGUGGUAUGUCGCUGCGUAGGACACGUCGAUUGUGUUAUGUUGACUUUCCGUUUGCUUUGAGCGACUGUUCUCGUCUUGUUGUGCUCCCACUCCGGAUGUGUUGCUCAUUCUCGAGGUCUGAGCAAUCUUCACAUGGAGUUCCUUUUAAUUGACAAAUAGAGAGGAUCUCCUUGACAACCAGUCUAAGUAGUCACGGCACUCGUCUUUAUCUGACUCAGUGGGUGGAGAACUCGCUUGUCUCUUGUGUGGGCUUCCGGCCAACUCCGUCCCUCUGGCUCCUUUUCUCCCUCCUUCUCCCCCUCGAACACUUAUGCAAACUGUUUCUUGCUUCCUGUCCUCCUCCUCCUCCUCUUGUGCUUUUCUGAGCGUGUGAGUUUCGUGUUCUCGUCGUUUUAACACCAACCUGGUUAUUAAGUCUGAGCACAACCACUGCAGGCUGGCAGACAGACAUGAUUACUAACCUGCAGGCCGAGCCCUGAAGUCAUUGUCUUUAAUGCCAGCAGCACAUCAAAGGCAGCCCGCCCCACACACCACUUAGCUAUUCAGCUCUUCCACCUUCUUUUGGCCGUUAUAAUCUGGCUGAUCGGGUUCUCCUUUUGUCCACCAGAUGGUGCAUAUGUCCAAAUAACCGGCUGUAGCUAGAUCACUACACAUAACUGUACUUUUUCAUUCUGGUACACUGUGUCCUGUGAUAGGAUCACAGUGCUUUUUGUUUGCAGUCUGAAAACAUUUGCACGCCUAGCUUGGUGCAUUUGUUCGUCAUGUAGUGACUCAUAUUUCACCGCAAUGAUACAAAUCUGGGCUUGUUUUCCUCUGUUAUGUAUGUAAGAGGUAAUGAUGAUGUAUAAUGUUAUGAGUGUGUCUUUCUGAAUUUUAAGAAAUGCUACAAUACGGGCUUAUAUCACUGAUCGAAUACCAGACAGACAGGCAGAGGGUCAGAUAGACGGGCAGAUCUAAUCUUCUAAUGCCAAUUAGGACGGAAGAGCACCACCGGGCCCCUAAGCCCUAACUUCAUCACCACAUAUAGACGGGGUCCCGGGGUGAGGCCUACAUAGACCCAUCCUCUCUGCUUCCAGUCAGGCCGGUGUGUGGACGUAUCAGGUGGAGCCUUUGGUCUCAGUUUCCCCCGGCAACAGCGAAGAGCAUCCAAGAAGCCGUUGGCCCCUGGUGUGUUCAGGUGCCAGAGGCUGGCUUGGAAUACUGGCUCUUUCUUCAGCCGUCGGUAGGGCCGUCGGUGUGUUACAAGGAAGUCCCCCCCCUCAGUAACCUGACUCUAAAUCACACUGCUGCUGACCCCUUGAAUGGCUGCUAGGUGGAUAGUGAAAAACAAAUAGGAGAGGUGUGUAAAGUCAGAGGUUAUUGCUAAAUAAUCUUUUCAAAACAGUGAAGUGUCUAUUUUCUGAAUGAGGUAGUCAGGUGAGCCCGGAGCUUUCUAUGUGUUUUCUAUCAUCCUGCUGCUGGUCACCUGCUGUGUGAUGAUGACUGGCUCUUGAGUAGGCGCCGUUGCCGAUGUCUUUUAUUAGCUUGUUUGUACUGCGGUGGUUACUGUGAAUGAGUGGAACUGGACCUCUAAAAAACUGUGGCGCUAUUUCAAGUUAUGGCCGCUGAACAAAAACACUUCCAGGUUUUCUCUGGCAUCCCACCAUCAACCCCCUGACACACAUUUCAAUGAAGUAAAUGGCCGUCUUUUACACAAAGACCACCUACAUAACGGUGCGGAGUAACCCACCCAGGUCUGGCCAGGUUCCACUAUUCUAUCUAUCAAGCACACCCAGUGUAUUUCUCCAAAUGCAGCUGGCGCAAUUAAAUCAAUGUGGCUAUCAGAAUUAAAACUUGAUGCAGUUGUAUAUGUUACCUCAAAUAGGAUGCUCUUCUAAUUACCACCAUGGUUCCUCUGUUAAAAUCAGUUGCAGAAAGAAGCUCAGGCAAUCCUUUGUAAAUCUGCCGCUCUGCAGAGUGACCAAAGUCAAGGAUUCAAAUUUUUCAGUACAAAUUGUUCUUGGAAAUUUGGAAACAUUGGCCCAGUGUCCCUGCUGUGAAUAUAAGCUUGCGAUGGUUGAGGUUUAUUCCCACUUGAGGAUUUCACUUUCAAGAGGAGAGCGAAUCCUCUCUCAUGACACAAUCGCACUUUCUUGUCUCUUGUUCUCCUGAGUUUGUACCCUAUGGUUGAAUGCACUUAUUGUACGUCGCUUUGGAUAAAAGCGUCCGCUAAAUGACAUAUAAUGUAAUGUUCAUUUUGUGUAAAAAAACAAAAAAAGCAAUCAAACCACGUAAGCGCAUGCUAAGAAAGGUUAACCACCUCAUUUCCAACAGCUGUGUCCUCACAGGUUACACCUAAGCCCUCCCGCCGAAUCAAAGAUGCCAACGUAGCAAGGCGAUGCUGGCUGGCGGUUGCUGCUGGUAAUUCUGUGCCCGUCUUCAUUCCUCGGGAAGAUCCUGUCCUUCACCUGAAGUGGUCCUCUCUCCACUAUUGAGCAGCGUGCACUAUCCGACAGCUGUUUUGGUGGAUCAUUUUAGAAGUACAGUGGAUGAUGCUGGAGCGCUCUUACAGCCCAUCCCUGUCUCAUUCUGAAAACAAAUACAAAACACAGCAUAAGGCUUUUCCUAAGUGGUGAAAUGUACAGUAUAUUUACUAAUGUAGACAUUUGAGGAAUUCAUGCAACUUCAAUUGUGUCUGCUCUGCUGUAUCUUAGAGGCAAACACUGUACUUUAAACUCCACUACAGUACAUUAAAUGAAAUGGCUGGUUACAUA